AACGAACGCUGGCGGCAGGCUUAACACAUGCAAGUCGAGCGCCCCGCAAGGGGAGCGGCAGACGGGUGAGUAACGCGUGGGAAUCUACCGUGCCCUACGGAAUAGCUCCGGGAAACUGGAAUUAAUACCGUAUACGCCCUUUGGGGGAAAGAUUUAUCGGGGUAUGAUGAGCCCGCGUUGGAUUAGCUAGUUGGUGGGGUAAAGGCCUACCAAGGCGACGAUCCAUAGCUGGUCUGAGAGGAUGAUCAGCCACAUUGGGACUGAGACACGGCCCAAACUCCUACGGGAGGCAGCGGUGGGGAAUAUUGGACAAUGGGCGCAAGCCUGAUCCAGCCAUGCCGCGUGAGUGAUGAGGGCCCUAGGGUUGUAAAGCUCUUUCACCGGUGAAGAUAAUGACGGUAACCGGGGAAGAAGCCCCGGCUAACUUCGUGCCAGCAGCCGCCGUAA
rnacentral:rRNA from 1 species